CGAAACGGGAAGAGCCCAAACCAACAAGCUUGCUUGUUGGGGUUGUAGGACACUCUAUACGGAGUUACAAAGGACGACAUUAGACGAAUCAUCUGGAAAGAUGAAUCAAAGAAGGUAAUAAUCCUGUAGUCGAAAAUGUUGUCUCUCUUGAGUGGAUCCUGAGUACGACGGAGCACGUGAAAUUCCGUCGGAAUCUGGGAGGACCAUCUCCUAAGGCUAAAUACUCUCUAGUGACCGAUAGUGAACCAGUACCGUGAGGGAAAGGUGAAAAGCACCCCGGAAGGGGAGUGAAAUAGAACCUGAAACCGUGUGCUUACAAGUAGUCAGAGCCCGUUAAUGGGUGAUGGCGUGCCUUUUGUAGAAUGAACCGGCGAGUUACGAUUUGAUGCAAGGUUAAGCAGUAAAUGUGGAGCCGUAGCGAAAGCGAGUCUGAAUAGGGCGUUUAGUAUUUGGUCGUAGACCCGAAACCAGGUGAUCUACCCUUGGUCAGGUUGAAGUUCAGGUAACACUGAAUGGAGGACCGAACCGACUUACGUUGAAAAGUGAGCGGAUGAACUGAGGGUAGCGGAGAAAUUCCAAUCGAACCUGGAGAUAGCUGGUUCUCUCCGAAAUAGCUUUAGGGCUAGCCUCAAGUGAUGAUUAUUGGAGGUAGAGCACUGUUUGGACGAGGGGCCCCUCUCGGGUUACCGAAUUCAGACAAACUCCGAAUGCCAAUUAAUUUAACUUGGGAGUCAGAACAUGGGUGAUAAGGUCCGUGUUCGAAAGGGAAACAGCCCAGACCACCAGCUAAGGUCCCAAAAUAUAUGUUAAGUGGAAAAGGAUGUGGCGUUGCCCAGACAACUAGGAUGUUGGCUUAGAAGCAGCCAUCAUUUAAAGAGUGCGUAAUAGCUCACUAGUCGAGUGACACUGCGCCGAAAAUGUACCGGGGCUAAACAUAUUACCGAAGCUGUGGAUUGUCCUUUGGACAAUGGUAGGAGAGCGUUCUAAGGGCGUUGAAGCAUGAUCGUAAGGACAUGUGGAGCGCUUAGAAGUGAGAAUGCCGGUGUGAGUAGCGAAAGACGGGUGAGAAUCCCGUCCACCGAUUGACUAAGGUUUCCAGAGGAAGGCUCGUCCGCUCUGGGUUAGUCGGGUCCUAAGCUGAGGCCGACAGGCGUAGGCGAUGGAUAACAGGUUGAUAUUCCUGUACCACCUAUAAUCGUUUUAAUCGAUGGGGGGACGCAGUAGGAUAGGCGAAGCGUGCGAUUGGAUUGCACGUCUAAGCAGUAAGGCUGAGUAUUAGGCAAAUCCGGUACUCGUUAAGGCUGAGCUGUGAUGGGGAGAAGACAUUGUGUCUUCGAGUCGUUGAUUUCACACUGCCGAGAAAAGCCUCUAGAUAGAAAAUAGGUGCCCGUACCGCAAACCGACACAGGUAGUCAAGAUGAGAAUUCUAAGGUGAGCGAGCGAACUCUCGUUAAGGAACUCGGCAAAAUGACCCCGUAACUUCGGGAGAAGGGGUGCUCUUUAGGGUUAACGCCCAGAAGAGCCGCAGUGAAUAGGCCCAAGCGACUGUUUAUCAAAAACACAGGUCUCUGCUAAACCGUAAGGUGAUGUAUAGGGGCUGACGCCUGCCCGGUGCUGGAAGGUUAAGAGGAGUGGUUAGCUUCUGCGAAGCUACGAAUCGAAGCCCCAGUAAACGGCGGCCGUAACUAUAACGGUCCUAAGGUAGCGAAAUUCCUUGUCGGGUAAGUUCCGACCCGCACGAAAGGCGUAACGAUUUGGGCACUGUCUCAACGAGAGACUCGGUGAAAUCAUAGUACCUGUGAAGAUGCAGGUUACCCGCGACAGGACGGAAAGACCCCGUGGAGCUUUACUGUAGCCUGAUAUUGAAAUUCGGCACAGCUUGUACAGGAUAGGUAGGAGCCUUUGAAACGUGAGCGCUAGCUUACGUGGAGGCGCUGGUGGGAUACUACCCUAGCUGUGUUGGCUUUCUAACCCGCACCACUUAUCGUGGUGGGAGACAGUGUCAGGCGGGCAGUUUGACUGGGGCGGUCGCCUCCUAAAAGGUAACGGAGGCGCUCAAAGGUUCCCUCAGAAUGGUUGGAAAUCAUUCAUAGAGUGUAAAGGCAUAAGGGAGCUUGACUGCGAGACCUACAAGUCGAGCAGGGUCGAAAGACGGACUUAGUGAUCCGGUGGUUCCGCAUGGAAGGGCCAUCGCUCAACGGAUAAAAGCUACCCCGGGGAUAACAGGCUUAUCUCCCCCAAGAGUUCACAUCGACGGGGAGGUUUGGCACCUCGAUGUCGGCUCAUCGCAUCCUGGGGCUGUAGUCGGUCCCAAGGGUUGGGCUGUUCGCCCAUUAAAGCGGUACGCGAGCUGGGUUCAGAACGUCGUGAGACAGUUCGGUCCCUAUCCGUCGUGGGCGUAGGAAAUUUGAGAGGAGCUGUCCUUAGUACGAGAGGACCGGGAUGGACAUACCUCUGGUGUACCAGUUGUCGUGCCAACGGCAUAGCUGGGUAGCUAUGUGUGGACGGGAUAAGUGCUGAAAGCAUCUAAGCAUGAAGCCCCCCUCAAGAUGAGAUUUCCCAACUUCGGUUAUAAGAUCCCUCAAAGAUGAUGAGGUUAAUAGGUUCGAGGUGGAAGCAUGGUGACAUGUGGAGCUGACGAAUACUAAUCGAUCGAAGACUUAAUCAA
rnacentral:rRNA from 1 species